rnacentral:lncRNA from 1 species
UCAUGAGCCAGUCUCCACAUUCUCAAGUAUACUAUAGUUGCAUGCCCAAUUCACUGACCUACUCUUUAUUUUAUUGAUGUAAGUAUAUAGAUAUGUCUUUCCCUAAGUACUUCCCUGGCUCCAUCCCACAAAU